AAAUGGCUUUGUGGGUCUCUGACUUGAGAUUUUUUACUUGGAAUGUAACAGAGUACGCUCAGCUAACCUGUCCCUCAGAUUGGCAGAUGAUGCCAUUUACAUUGUUGUCUGAUUUUGAGGCUUUCCGUUGUAAACCUACUGAAGUACUAUCCUUUGAAAGAAGUCACAUUUUAAGAAGUGUCUCAUCUUUGCUCUCUUUCAGCCAGAUACACAGUAUCGUUCAUGCACUAUUGAGUACCCUAUCAGGCCCAACCUGGUAGGGGCUCUGCAGGGACAGGACCUCAGUUACAUGGGUCUAUGAAAUCUCAAAACAGAGGCGCAGUCUCUAGAACCAGGCAAGGACCAUAGAGCAAAUGAGAAGAACCUGCUUCAAGCUACAGGGAAUACAUGGAAAGAUUUCAUGAAUCAGUGUUCAGCCAUCUUGUGAUGCAGAGCUCAUUUACAAGAGACAGUGGUAAAACCAUCUUCACAAAGAGUUAUUUUGGUACAACUGAGAAAAAAACAACAGAGUACCUGCCAAAGAUUAUAUGGGUACUAUUUCUAUCUCUGGUUACUGUCUUCUUUCCGCAUAAAUUAACCUAUUCCACUGGACAGUAAAGUUUGUACCCAAAGAUGUAACAAAUAAAUAAUUAUCCCCAAA